rnacentral:rRNA from 1 species
AGCAGCCGCGGUAAUUCCAGCUCCAAUAGCGUAUAUUAAAGUUGUUGCAGUUAAAAAGCUCGUAGUUGAAUUUCGGGAUUAAUUUAUUGGUCGUGCAAUAGUACGUACUGGUAUUAUUGAUUCCUACCUUCUGACGAACCAUGAUGUCAUUAAUUUGGUGUCAUGGGGAAUCAGGACUGUUACUUUGAAAAAUUAGAAGUGUUUAAAGCAAGGCUCACGCUUGAAUACAUUAGCAUGGAAUAACGAAAUAGGACGUUUGAUUCUAUUUUGUUGGUUUCUAGGUAUUCGACGUAAUGAUUAAUAGGGAUAGUCGGGGGCAUUAGUAUUCAAUUGUCAGAGGUGAAACUCUUGGAUUUAUUGAAGACUUAACUACUGCGAAAAGCAUUUGCCAAGGAUGUUUUCAUUAAUCUAAGAACGAAAGUUAGGGGAUCGAAGACGAUCAGAUACCGUCGUAGUCUUAACCAUAAACUAUAGCCGACUAGGGAUCGGAUGAUGUUAAUUUUUAAUGUACUUCUA